ensembl:lncRNA
AGUCAGUGCUGUAGUGCUUCUGUAGUAGAGUUAAAAUGGUUAUUCCAUCAAACUUCAAAUGAUUAGAAUAGUACACAACGCAGAACAGAACAACCAGGUUGAGGGUCAGUGGCCAAAGCCCGCAAACAGGAAUAUUCCAAGUUCAGACAGAAGUUUAGACAGUCAGAUCGCUAUGAUCGCCAGGAACUUUACUUUUGGUGUCUAUUUUUAAAUGUUGCGCUACUGGUGCUGCCUGCUGAUGUUAGAUAGGCAGCUACAGUAGCUGAAUGAUGUUAACAUCUUCGGGUUUUGUUUCAUUAAAUGUAUUUUAUUUCAUCUGGGUGCUUGCAUCACCUACUAACACCUGGUACUACCCGUAGCCCCCGUUCUCCUCAGUCCGAGAAAACACUGAGAAAGAACAACUUGUCAGAUGGUGCAUUGGAGACUGAUGUGUUCCUGUCCUCUUUUCACAAUACUAUUGCAGGUGCUACCAAUAAACAUACAAGGAGGGGGAGGAAAGACAAUCAGUGGCAGCUAAUAGGCCGGUGACGACGACCACCGAGCGCCACCCGACCAGGAAGGGAAGCCACCCUCGGUCGGACUCGUGACAGCCACAUUGUAACGAUUGUCAUCGGGAGAAUGAGAAGAGGACCAAAGUGUAGCGUGGGAGAAGAUUCAGGCCUGCACUCUCAAGAUUCAUCAAAGGAAUGUACUUUUCCCCACUGAACCUCUAACACAUUCAAAAUGAGUAGUUACCGCCCGGAGUGAAGUCAGAGAGCGUGCCAGCCUGCCGGAACCACCUCUAUUAUCGAUGGGUUAAGAAAAAAACACGAGACCAGAAAAGUGUGAAGCUGCAGCUGCACAUUUAAAGUGGUUUGAACUUUGAAUCUCAACACGAGGUGGACAUGAUAAACUCACCUCCCAGACAAUCACUGGUACAGCUGAUAAACUGUCCUCAGUAAAGCAUCUUCAAAAGCGAAUUUAAGUAGGACCAUCCGGUUACUCCGCUCAAAUCAAAUGUUUUUGGUCACAUACACACGGUUAGCAGAUGUUAAUGAGAGUGUAGCGAAAUGCUUGUGCUUCUAGUUCCGACAGUGCAGUAAUAUCUAACAAGUAAUCUAACAAAUUCACAACGACUACCUUAUACACACAAUGUAAGGGGAUGGAAAGAUAAUAUGUACAUAUAAAUGUAUGGAUGCGCGAUGGCCGUGCGACAUAGGCAAGAUGCAAUAGAUAUUGCAUCUUGUAUAAAAUACAAUAUAGGCAAGAUGCAAUAGAUAUUGCAUCUUGUAUAAAAUACAAUAUAUGCAAGAUGCAAUAGAUAUUGCAUCUUGUAUAAAAUACAAUAUAUGCAAGAUGCAAUAGAUAUUGCAUCUUGUAUAAAAUACAAUAUAUACAAGAUGCAAUAGAUAUUGCAUCUUGUAUAAAAUACAAUAUAUACAUAUCCUACAUUACUCAUCUCAUAUGUAAACAUUAAAAUGGCAUUAUGGCAUUAAAGUGAGUAGUGAUACCUUUAUUAAAUCCAUUUAUUAAAUGGCCAAUGAUUUGAGUCUGUAUGUUGGCAGCAGCCUUUCUAUGUUAGUGAUGACUGUUUAACAGUCUGAGGGUGGAAACAAACACUGACACGGAAAAUAAACACCCACGAAACACAAGUGGGAAAAGGCUACCUAAGUAUGAUUUUCAAUCAGAGACAACUAACGACACCUGCCUCUGAUUGAGAACCAUACCAGGCCAAACACAACAUAGAAAACGGAACAUAGACAACCCACCCAACUCACACCCUGACCAUACUAAAACGAAGACAUAACAAAGGAACUAAGGUCGGAACGUGACACCAAUUCACAAACUUAUCAAGACAACUACCCAGGUCAUCCCUACUGCCUCUGAUCUGGCAGACUCACGAAACACAUAUGCUUUGUUUGUAAAUUAUGUCUGAGUGUUGGAGUGUGCCGCUGGCUAUUCGUCAUUAAAAAUUUUAAAAAAUAUACAAUUGUGCCAUCUGGAUUGCUUAAUAGAAGGAAUUUGAAAUGGUUUAUACUUUUACUUUUGAUACUUAAGUAUAUUUUAGCAAUUCCAUUUACUUUUUACCCCCUUUUUCGUGGUAUCCAAUUGUUAGUAGUUACUGUCUUGUCUCUUCGCUACAACUCCCGUACGGGAUCGGGAGAGACAAAGGUCAAGAGCCAUGCGUCCUCUGAAACACAACCCAACCAAGCCGCACUGCUUCUUAACAUAGCGCGCAUUCAACCCUGAAGCCAGCCGCACCAAUGUGUCGGAGGAAACACCGUACACCUAGCGAUCUGGUCAGCGUGCACUGCGCCCAGCCCACCACAGGAGUCACUAGUGCGCGAUGAGACAAGGAUAUCCCUACCGGCCAAACCCUCCCUAACCCGGAUGAUGCUAGGCCAAUUGUGCGUCGCCCCAUGGAUCUCAAGGUCGCGGCCGGCUGCGACAGAGCCUGGGCUCGAACCCAGAGUCUCUGGUGGCACAGCACCAGACCAUUGCGCCACCCGGGAGGCCGCCAUUCCAUUUACUUUUGAUACUUAAGUAUAUUUAAAACCAAAUACUUUCAAACUUUUACUAAAGAAGUAUUAUACUGGGUGACUUCACUUGAGUCAUUUUCGAAAAGGUAUCUUUACUUUUACUCAAGUAUGACAAUUGAGUACUUUUUCCACCACUGGGCAGACGGCAGGUUGUAUCUAAUGAAGUCCGGGACAUCGUCGUUGACCAUGUGGUAAGAGGCUGACAGAUUAGUUCACACCAAUCUGAAAAGAUCAACUGUCAAUUCGAUCAUGAGAAAAUUUCGCCAAGAAAACUGGUAAGUCUGCAGGAUAUACAUUAUCAUUACAUUUACAGUAAAUUACAUAUUGUAAUGCAUGUAAAUUCACUAAACAUGUUAAAGUAUACUCUAUACUACCCUCAGAAUUGACAGGAGAACACAUGGUGGUGGCCGUGUGCUGACCGACCAGCAGGACUGGACAGUGGUGGAAAUGGUGAGGGCCAGGAAUGACAUACGGCUGUCCAAAAUAAAAGGAUGAUGGCGCUUGAUGCUGCUGUGAACCAUCACAAGUAUAUCUUUGUUGAUGAAGUGGGCUUCAACCUGGCCAAAACUCGGCACCUUGGGCGGAUCCUCAUCGGCCAACGGGCGACUGUCCAAGUGCCUGUAAAACGUGGGGGAAACAUCUCUAUGCGCGCAGCCUUCUCUGAAGAUGGUGUGGUAGGCCAUUACUUGGACCAUACAAUGCUGCACACCUCAUUGUGUUUCUCAAUAAAAUUGAGCAGGCAGGCAAGGUGAAGGGGUCACCUAUGUCAUUGUGCUCGACAAUGUCAGGUUACACCAUGCUGAAUUGGUUCAGGCUGUUGGGCCCAUCCCCGAUUCAUGACCCUAUACCAGCCCGCAUACUCUCCUUUCCUCAAACCUAUUGAGUAUUUUGUUUUAGUAUGGAGGUGGAAGGUGUACGAUCGACAUCCCCGUGAGCAUGCCACCCUCCUUCUGGCCAUGGAUGAGACAUGCAACGAUAUUAAUGCAGACCAAUGUCAGGCUUGGAUUCGCCAUACAAGAAGGUUUUUCCCACGGUGCAUGAACAAUGACAUUCACUGUGAUAUGGAUGAGAAUUUAUGGCCAAAUGCUCACAGUCUUAAUGCAAAUUAAUGCGUGCUAAACGUUAUGUUUUAUUUUCAUUCAUUUGUUUCAUCAAAUUUCUUACAUUUGAUUACAUGCAGUACACCUAUGUUGCAAUUGUGCGUGAAUGAUUCUAGAGGAUGUCUAUGUUGAUCACAUAUUGGAUAGAUAUGGAAGGGAUAGAUUUUCUGUCAAUUUUGUUGGGUAAUGUACACUACCGUUCAAAGGUUUGGGGUCACUUAGAAAUGUCCUUUUUUUUUAAAGAAAAGCUAAUUUUUUCCCAUUAAAAUAACAUAUUGAUCCGAAAUACAGUGUAGACAUUUUUAAUGUUGUAAAUGAC